rnacentral:rRNA from 1 species
UACGUAGGGUGCGAGCGUUAAUCGGAAUUACUGGGCGUAAAGCGUGCGCAGGCGGUGAGCUGUGUCCGAUGUGAAAGCCCCGGGCUCAACCUGGGAAUGGCAGUGGAUACUGGACAGCUAGAGUGCGGUAGAGGGUAGUGGAAUUCCCGGUGUAGCAGUGAAAUGCGUAGAGAUCGGGAGGAACACCAGUGGCGAAGGCGGCUACCUGGACCAGCACUGACACUGAAGCACGAAAGCGUGGGGAGCAAACAGG